AUAACUAUUGGAAACGAUAGCUAAUACCGCAUAACAGCAUUUAACCCAUGUUAGAUGCUUGAAAGGAGCAAUUGCUUCACUAGUAGAUGGACCUGCGUUGUAUUAGCUAGUUGGUGAGGUAACGGCUCACCAAGGCNACGAUACAUAGCCGACCUGAGAGGGUGAUCGGCCACACUGGGACUGAGACACGGCCCAGACUCCUACGGGAGGCAGCAGUAGGGAAUCUUCGGCAAUGGGGGCAACCCUGACCGAGCAACGCCGCGUGAGUGAAGA
rnacentral:rRNA from 1 species